UACGGGGGGGGCAAGCGUUGUUCGGAAUUACUGGGCGUAAAGGGCUCGUAGGUGGCCAACUAAGUCAGACGUGAAAUCCCUCAGCUUAACUGGGGAACUGCGUCUGAUACUGGAUGGCUUGAAUUUGGGAGAGGGAUGCGGAAUUCCAGGUGUAGCGGUGAAAUGCGUAGAUAUCUGGAGGAACACCGGUGGCGAAGGCGGCAUCCUGGACCAUUACUGACGCUGAGGCGCGAAAGCGUGGGGAGCAAACAGG
rnacentral:rRNA from 1 species